GGUCAGGUUGAAGUUCAGGUAACACUGAAUGGAGGACCGAACCGACUUACGUUGAAAAGUGAGCGGAUGAACUGAGGGUAGCGGAGAAAUUCCAAUCGAACUUGGAGAUAGCUGGUUCUCUCCGAAAUAGCUUUAGGGCUAGCCUCAAGUGAUGAUUAUUGGGGGUAGAGCACUGUUUGGACGAGGGGCCCCUCUCGGGUUACCGAAUUCAGACAAACUCCGAAUGCCAAUUAAUUUAACUUGGGAGUCAGAACAUGGGUGAUAAGGUCCGUGUUCGAAAGGGAAACAGCCCAGACCACCAGCUAAGGUCCCAAAAUAUAUGUUAAGUGGAAAAGGAUGUGGCGUUGCCCAGACAACUAGGAUGUUGGCUUAGAAGCAGCCAUCAUUUAAAGAGUGCGUAAUAGCUCACUAGUCGAGUGACACUGCGCCGAAAAUGUAACGGGGCUAAACAUAUUACCGAAGCUGUGGAUUGUCCUUUGGACAAUGGUAGGAGAGCGUUCUAAGGGCGUCGAAGCAUGAUCGCAAGGACAUGUGGAGCACUUAGAAGUGAGAAUGCCGGUGUGAGUAGCGAAAGACGGGUGAGAAUCCCGUCCACCGAUUGACUAAGGUUUCCAGAGGAAGGCUCGUCCGCUCUGGGUUAGUCGG
rnacentral:rRNA from 1 species